UAGUCAUAUGCUUGUCUCAGAGAUUAAGCCAUGCAUGUCCAAGUACAAACCUUAAUACGGUGAAACCGCGAAUGGCUCAUUAAAUCAGCUAUUGUUUCAUUGGAUCGUAAUCUACUACAUGGAUAACUGUAGUAAUUCUAGAGCUAAUACAUGCCAAAAUGCCCUAUGCCGCAAGGUUGUGGGUGGUUUUAUUAGAACAAAGCCAAUGUUUUGGGCUUCGGCUCUUCUCUAUUGGUGAUGACUCUGGAUAACUUUACUGAUCGCAUUCGAAAGAAGGCGACGGAUCCUUCGAGUGGCUGCCCUAUCAAUUGUCGAUGGUAGGUGACCUGCCUACCAUGGUAAUAACGGGUAACGGGGAAUCAGGGUUCGAUUCCGGAGAGGGAGCCUGAGAAACGGCUACCACAUCCAAGGAAGGCAGCAGGCGCGCAAAUUACCCAAUCCCGGCACGGGGAGGUAGUGACGAAAAAUACGGAGACGGGACUCGUAACGGGCCUCCGACAUCCGAAUGAGUACAAUUUAAAUCCUUUAACGAGGAACAACUGGAGGGCAAGUCUGGUGCCAGCAGCCGCGGUAACUCCAGCUCCAGAAGCGUAUAUUAAAGUUGUUGCAGUUAAAAAGCUCGUAGUUGGAUCUGGGUCGCAUGGCUGUUCGCUGUGAUUGGCUUCAUACAUUGAAUGUUGGUGUUAACGCGCCUUCAUUUGUGGUGUUGUUGAUCCGGUGUUAUGGUCGUGUAACCUUUCUGUCGUGUCUGUGCCUUUCUUCGGAAAAGCGCAGGUGUUGGUCUUCUGUGUGUCGUAAGAUGUGCAGUUGAUUGGCAUGCUUUCGGGUGCUCUUUAUUGGGUGCUUGGAGCGGGCGGCAAGUUUACUUUGAACAAAUUUGAGUGCUCAAAGCAGGCCGUAGAGCCUGAAAAGUCUUGCAUGGAAUAAUGAAAUAGGACUUCGGUUCUAUUUUGUUGGUUUUCGGAUCCGAAGUAAUGGUUAAGAGGGACAAACGGGGGCAUUUGUAUGGCGGCGUUAGAGGUGAAAUUCAUGGAUCGUCGCCAGACAAACUACAGCGAAAGCAUUUGCCAAGGAUGUUUUCAUUGAUCUGGAGCGAAAGUCAGAGGAUCGAAGACGAUCAGAUACCGUCCUAGUUCUGACCAUAAACGAUGCCAACUGACGAUCCGAGGCGAGCUACUUUUGGCCCCUCGGGCAGUCCCCGGGAAACCUUUAAGUCUUUGGGCUCCGGGGGAAGUAUGGUUGCAAAGCUGAAACUUAAAGGAAUUGACGGAAGGGCACCACCAGGAGUGGAGCCUGCGGCUUAAUUCGACUCAACACGGGAAAACUCACCCGGCCCGGACACUGUGAGGAUUGACAGAUUGAGAGCUCUUUCUUGAUUCGGUGGUUGGUGGUGCAUGGCCGUUCUUAGUUGGUGGAGCGAUUUGUCUGGUUAAUUCCGAUAACGAACGAGACUUUAACCUGCUAAAUAGUGUGCUCGUCUUCUGUCUUGUUCAGUGUUCUUACUGCUUUGAUCCCUCGAGGGUUGGAGUGUUUGAAUUACUGGCUUGUACGGUGCGGGUCUCACUUCUUAGAGGGACAAACGGCGCUUUCAGUCGUACGAAAAUGAGCAAUAACAGGUCUGUGAUGCCCUCAGAUGUCCGGGGCCGCACGUGCGCUACAAUGACGGUUUCAACGAGUAUGGGAACCUGGCCCGAAAUGGUUGGGUAAACUGUGCCAUAACCGUCGUGACUGGGAUCGGGGUUUGCAAUUAUCCCCCGUGAACGAGGAAUUCCUGGUAAGUGCAAGUCAUAAGCUUGCGCUGAUUACGUCCCUGCCCUUUGUACACACCGCCCGUCGCUACUACCGAUUGAAUGGUUUAGCAAGGUCAUCGGAUUGCUGCAAUCAGUGGCGUAAGCUACAAGAUUGUUGGUGAGAAGACGACCGAACUUGAUCAUUUAGA
rnacentral:rRNA from 1 species